CCACAGGCGCGAAAACUUUACAAUGCGGGAAACCGUGAUAAGGGGACACCGAGUGCCAGCAUCAUAUGCUGGCUGUCCGGGUGUGUAAAAUACACCUGUUAGCAAGGGCCGGGCAAGACCGGUGCCAGCCGCCGCGGUAACACCGGCGGCCCGAGUGGUGAUCGUGAUUAUUGGGUCUAAAGGGUCCGUAGCCGGUUUGGUCAGUCCUCCGGGAAAUCUGAUAGCUUAACUAUUAGGCUUUCGGGGGAUACUGCCAGACUUGGAACCGGGAGAGGUAAGAGGUACUACAGGGGUAGGAGUGAAAUCUUGUAAUCCCUGUGGGACCACCUGUGGCGAAGGCGUCUUACCAGAACGGGUUCGACGGUGAGGGACGAAAGCUGGGGGCACGAACCGGAUUAGAUACCCGGGUAGUCCCAGCCGUAAACGAUGCUCGCUAGGUGUCAGGCAUGGCGCGACCGUGUCUGGUGCCGCAGGGAAGCCGUGAAGCG
rnacentral:rRNA from 1 species